rnacentral:rRNA from 1 species
GACGAACGCUGGCGGCGUGCUUAACACAUGCAAGUCGAGCGGAAAGGCCCUUUCGGGGGUACUCGAGCGGCGAACGGGUGAGUAACACGUGAGUAAUCUGCCCUUGGCUUUGGGAUAACCACCGGAAACGGUGGCUAAUACCGGAUAUGACGCGCCCCGGCAUCGGGGUGUGUGGAAAGUUUUUUCGGCCAGGGAUGUGCUCGCGGCCUAUCAGCUUGUUGGUGGGGUAAUGGCCUACCAAGGCUUCGACGGGUAGCCGGCCUGAGAGGGUGGCCGGCCACACGGGGACGGGGACACGGCCCAGACUCCUACGGGGGGCAGCAGUGGGGAAUAUUGGACAAUGGGCGGAAGCCUGAUCCAGCAACGCCGCGUGAGGGAUGACGGCCUUCGGGUUGUAAACCUCUUUCAGUACCGACGAAGCGCCGAUGAUGGUGGUGACGGUAGGUACAGAAGAAGCACCGGCCAACUACGUGCCAGCAGCCGCAGUAACAC